rnacentral:rRNA from 1 species
CAGUAGCCGCGGGAACACGAAGGGGGCUAGCGUUGUUCGGAAUUACUGGGCGUAAAGCGCACGUAGGCGGAUUUUUAAGUCAGGGGUGAAAUCCCGAGGCUCAACCUCGGAACUGCCUUUGAUACUGGGGAUCUUGAGUCCGGAAGAGGUGAGUGGAACUGCGAGUGUAGAGGUGAAAUUCGUAGAUAUUCGCAAGAACACCAGUGGCGAAGGCGGCUCACUGGUCCGGUACUGACGCUGAGGUGCGAAAGCGUGGGGAGCAAACAGGAUUAGAUACCCCUGUAGUCCCUGUCUCUUAUAC